rnacentral:rRNA from 1 species
CUUGGCAGUUAUAGAGACAGGGGUACACCUGUUACCAUCCCGAACACAGCAGUUAAGCCUGUCUUCGCCGAUGUUACUGCGGUUUGCCGUGGGAAAGUAGGUCGCUGCCAAGA